rnacentral:rRNA from 1 species
CAUGCAGUCGUACGAAGAGUUUUUACUCAAGUGGCGGACGGGUGAGUAACACGUAAGAAUUUGCCUCUAGGAGGGGGAUAACAACUGGAAACGGUUGCUAAUACCCCAUAUGCUUUCGAGUGAAAUGGAUUUCCGCCUAGAGAGAAGCUUGCGGCUGAUUAGCUUGUUGGUGAGGUAAUGGCUUACCAAGGCGACGAUCAGUAUCUGGUUUGAGAGGACGAUCAGACACACUGGAACUGAGACACGGUCCAGACUCCUACGGGAGGCAGCAGUGGGGAAUUUUCCGCAAUGGGCGAAAGCCUGACGGAGCAAUACCGCGUGAGGGAUGACGGCCUAUGGGUUGUAAACCUCUUUUUUCAGGGAGGAAUUAAUGACGUGUACCUGAAGAAUAAGCAUCGGCUAACUCCGUGCCAGCAGCCGCGGUAAGACGGAGGAUGCAAGUGUUAUCCGGAAUCACUGGGCGUAAAGCGUCUGUAGGUGGUUUAGUAAGUCAACUGUUAAAUCUUGAGGCUCAACCUCAAAAUCGCAGUCGAAACUAUUAGACUAGAGUAUAGUAGGGGUAAAGGGAAUUUCCAGUGGAGCGGUGAAAUGUGUAGAGAUUGGAAGGAACACCGAUGGCGAAGGCACUUUACUGGGCUAUUACUAACACUCAGAGACGAAAGCUAGGGUAGCAAAUGGGAUUAGAUA